rnacentral:rRNA from 1 species
UCGGCUAACUCCGUGCCAGCAGCCGCGGUAAGACGGAGGAUGCAAGUGUUAUCCGGAAUCACUGGGCGUAAAGCGUCUGUAGGUGGUCCAAUAAGUCAACUGUUAAAUCUUGAGGCUCAACCUCAAAAUCGCAGUCGAAACUAUUAGACUAGAGUAUAGUAGGGGUAAAGGGAAUUUCCAGUGGAGCGGUGAAAUGCGUAGAGAUUGGAAAGAACACCGAUGGCGAAGGCACUUUACUGGGCUAUUACUAACACUGAGAGACGAAAGCUAGGGUAGCAAAUGGGAUUAGAUACCCCAGUAGUCCUAGCCGUAAACAAUGGUUCUAGAUGUUGGACAGAUCGACCUGUGCAGUAUCAAAGCUAACGCGUUAAG